UACUUUCAGCAGUGAGGAAGGUGGGUAUGUUAAUAGCAUACUCAUUUGACGUUAGCUGCAGAAGAAGCACCGGCUAACUCCGUGCCAGCAGCCGCGGUAAUACGGAGGGUGCGAGCGUUAAUCGGAAUUACUGGGCGUAAAGCGCAUGCAGGUGGUUUGUUAAGUCAGAUGUGAAAGCCCGGGGCUCAACCUCGGAAUUGCAUUUGAAACUGGCAAACUAGAGUACUGUAGAGGGGGUAGAAUUUCAGGUGUAGCGGUGAAAUGCGUAGAGAUCUGAAGGAAUACCGGUGGCGAAGGCGGCCCCCUGGACAGAUACUGACACUCAGAUGCGAAAGCGUGGGGAGCAAACAGGAUUAGAUACCCUGGUAG
rnacentral:rRNA from 1 species